GGGAACAUACCCUUUUCUACGGAAUAGCUCUGGGAAACUGGAAUUAAUACCGUAUACGCCCUACGGGGGAAAGAUUUAUCGGGGAAGGAUUGGCCCGCGUUGGAUUAGCUAGUUGGUGGGGUAAAGGCCUACCAAGGCGACGAUCCAUAGCUGGUCUGAGAGGAUGAUCAGCCACAUUGGGACUGAGACACGGCCCAAACUCCUACGGGAGGCAGCAGUGGGGAAUAUUGGACAAUGGGCGCAAGCCUGAUCCAGCCAUGCCGCGUGAGUGAUGAAGGCCUUAGGGUUGUAAAGCUCUUUCACCGAUGAAGAUAAUGACGGUAGUCGGAGAGGAAGCCCCGGCUAACUUCGUGCCAGCAGCCGCGGUAAUACGAAGGGGGCUAGCGUUGUUCGGAAUUACUGGGCGUAAAGCGCACGUAGGCGGAUAUUUAAGUCAGGGGUGAAAUCCCAGAGCUCAACUCUGGAACUGCCUUUGAUACUGGGUAUCUUGAGUAUGGAAGAGGUAAGUGGAAUUGCGAGU
rnacentral:rRNA from 1 species